rnacentral:rRNA from 1 species
AUUGAACGCUGGCGGCAGGCCUAACACAUGCAAGUCGAACGAAGUCUUCGGACUUAGUGGCGGACGGGUGAGUAACACGUGGGAACGUGCCUUUAGGUUCGGAAUAACUCAGGGAAACUUGUGCUCAUACCGAAUGUGCCCUUCGGGGGAAAGAUUUAUCGCCUUUAGAGCGGCCCGCGUCUGAUUAGCUAGUUGGUGAGGUAAUGGCUCACCAAGGCGACGAUCAGUAGCUGGUCUGAGAGGAUGACCAGCCACAUUGGGACUGAGACCCGGCCCAAACGCCUACGGGAGGCAGCAGUGGGGAAUCUUGCGCAAUGGGCGAAAGCCUGACGCAGCCAUGCCGCGUGGAUGAUGAAGGUCUUAGGAUUGUAAAAUCCUUUCACCGGUGAAGAUAAUGACUGUAGCCGGAGAAGAAGCCCCGGCUAACUUCAUGCCAGCAGCCGCGGUAACAC